UACGUAGGGUGCAAGCGUUAAUCGGAAUUACUGGGCGUAAAGCGUGCGCAGGCGGUUAUGUAAGACAGGUGUGAAAUCCCCGGGCUUAACCUGGGAACUGCAUUGUGACUGCAUAGCUAGAGUACGGUAGAGGGGGAUGGAAUUCCGCGUGUAGCAGUGAAAUGCGUAGAUAUGCGGAGGAACACCGAUGGCGGAAGGCAAUCCCCUGGACCUGUACUGACGCUCAUGACACGAAAGCGUGGGGAGCAAACAGGAU
rnacentral:rRNA from 1 species